AGGGUGGGCAGAAUGGAUCCUGGAGGAGGGGCCGCUGCCGGGCCUCCCGGGGAGCCGCGUGUAGCCCUCGGCAGCCUUGUCUCCUGACCU
rfam:Vicugna pacos cont1.228249, whole genome shotgun sequence.